GAAACCAUUUGUUUGGCUUGACGUCGUGACAAAUGCUCGAUCGUCUUCACCAGAGUUUCUGGGUUUGCAUUAGCUAAGUGUGCUAAAGUUUUGUACCCUGCAUUAUAAAGCUGUUUAGCUCGUGCCUGUAAGACAGAAGUUGUGUUAGGUUAUUUUAAGAGGCAAUAAGAAUUCUCAAUCCACCUCAGACAUUUAUAUAUAUAUUUUUAAUAGUGAUCCAGGUUCCCUUUGAUUCACCUUUCCAAGAACAGCAAGCCUCAUAAGAACUGGCACUAGCAAUUCAGAGGCACCAAGGAAUAGGAAAUCUAAUCUGAUGGCAUAUAUAUACAGUACAAGUAUCCAACAGAAAAGCUUACAAACAACACCUUGUUGCAGAGUUGCAUCUGGCGCUCCUCAACUAAAUCUGGGAUGGUUAAGAAACAACCAAGACAGCUCUUUUCUCACGGUGACAUUCCAUCACCAGAAGGCCUCAUCUCACAAAGAAAAGUUUGUUGGUAGUGCAAUCUUAAUCCAAGAGGAAAGCGUAGCCCAAAUAAUCAUUGUUAUCUAUCAUUAUUGGCAAAAAGGAACUGCAAAAAAAGUCUGCGAUCACUGGUUUCCACAUACAUUUUGUGUGCUUCUGGAAUGUUUGAAUUAUCUUCUUUUGAAGAAACUCUUGUAUGAAACUGAGAGAUAGCUUCAGCCUGUAAAACUUACAAGUGCUUUCCUUGUCCUACAUCUUUAUGCUAUGAGAUGAAAAAAAUCGUACUUUCUGGUUGUAUGGGAACUUUUUGAUCAUGGCCUGAACCUCUGAUUGACCACCUGAGACAAGCAAUUGAGUCAGCUGCAGGAGCACAGGUGAAGGCAAUUCACUUGUGCUACCAGGAGGGGAUGAAGCCUGGCUCCACCUCUCUUAGACCCCUCUUAAGGACUGACUGCUACUGAGGAAGGAUGUGUCUGGAGGUCGCUCCUUGAGGAGUUUACUGUGAGCCUACAACACUGGAACUCGCUAGCAACAUAAGGGGCUCUUAAAAUCACCCUGUAAAAAGAAAUCAUUGGUAAGUUGUGCUUAAUAUUAAAAUUAUUAUAGUUGCAAUAUCAUAAAGAUGCAUUCUCUAGAUAUGCUUCAUGCUUUGCAACUAAGAUGAGCAAAAUUGUACUUGUUUCCAAAAAAGUGUUCAACAAAACAUCUAACACCUUGAAGUCUGAAUCAUAAUCCAUUUUAAUUGCUGCAGAGCCUUUGUAUUAGUCGAACACAAAAAAUGUUGACACUAAGUCAGUAAUGCUAAAAACAGACCACAUUUCUCUGUUAGGAAAAUAAAGUUCUCUCUCCUCAGAUGUGUUACUCAAACACAGACACACAAAACUGGAUUCUAAGCAAACAGUCUCUUGGUCUUGAAGACUAGGGCAAACUGUACCAUCAAUACCUGCGUAACAAGUGCUAGCACGUUAUUCUGGUAAAAUAUAUUUAAACAUCUUCUCCUUAUAAAACAAUUUUAGGAUUUAAACAUUAUUCUUUUAAAAGCAUUUAAAAAGCAUCAUCACUUGCUCAUUAUUACUGAA